ensembl:rRNA 5S_rRNA 5S ribosomal RNA
AUCAAUGGCCAUGCCACCCUGAACGUGCUCGAUCUCGUCUGAUCUGGGAAGCCAAUCAGGGUCGGGCCUGAGUAGUACUUGGAUAGGAGACCACAUAGGAAAUCCCGCUGCUGUGGGUG